GCGCCGCUCCCUCCGCGGCGGCCAGCUUCCCGAGCGCACAAAGCCGCCGCUCGGGGCCCAGGGCCUCCCCACGACAGCCCCCGGCGGAAGAGCUUGCGUCUUGGGCACUGUUUUCCCCUCCUUGGCCUGGCCUUACGGAGCACCCUUGCUGCUCCUGACUUGAUUCUUCUUAAAACAUGUCUUUUUUUCAGCUGUUUAUUUGCCUGCGCCGGGUUUGUGCGGCCUCAUCAAUAGCUGUUUACCAGGUCGGUUACCCCCGAGCCCCGGGGGCAUCCUGAAACCAUGCAGUUUCAUUCCAUCUUUACUCCGAUUUGCGUUUGGGAAUUGAAGGGAGAAAUGGCAGGGCUGGUCUGUUUCCUUUUUUCAAGCUUCUAACCUCGCUCCGAAAAAAUCCCUCUUGGGGCUUGUGCUCCGGGAGAAAGGUGUUUGAACACCGAGUUCAAGCGAGCUGGCGGGAUGGAAUGUAGGAGAAGAAAAAGAAAAAAGGAGGCUUUUCAAAGAUGAACUUUUUUAUCCGACUCCAAACCUGCCGCGGUGCACUUUUAUAAAAUGCUGAGAAGCACAAAGAAGGAAAUAAAAAGCAGUCAUGAUUUUUUGCUUAGAAAUGACUUGUAUAUUUUUGAUAUUUGGUUUCAGGAUUUACUGCUGUUCACUGCACAGGUCUGACCCCCACCCCAGCCCCGACCCCAGCCCCACUCCCCACAUAGGAUCUGUGGAGGUAGCUGAGCUUUUUAAUUUAAUGCACCAUGUACGUUUUUGCUUGGCUAGCCGACUUCUGAACCAGUCGCACUGAAGUGGGUCCACUUCUGAGGUUCUGCAUGCAGACGGCUGUCAGCUAGGCAUCUGUGCGCGCACCUCUUGUGGAGGCCGUGAUUCAGAUGUUUGGAGGAGGGUGAGGGGCUUGGAGUUUCGAGGGAGGGCAGGAUUGCGCAGAUGUGGCUCCUUGCAAAGACCAGGGCGGCCUGGUUUCUGUCCGCAAAGGGAGCCCCCAUUUUCGGAUCAGCGGUUCUGGGGGACACAGAGUUGGGUGUCCAAGCCUCUGAGCGCUGAGCUCCCUCCUGGCGCCUCCAGGCCUCUGAACGUAGGUGGGAGGCUUCCCAGGCUGCCUGGAGGCUGGGGGCUGAGAGGCGGGGCUCAGGGGUCACAGAAUCAGGCCCCUGUCCCCUUGGAGGACCCCGGGAUGAAUGCGGAGGGAGUGGUGAGGGUCAGGCCGCUCCUCCCAGACCCGCUCCCGUCCCCUCCGGGGCGGACGCUUAGGGCAGCCGGAGCUGAGGUCUUCUGGCAGCUCCUGGGAGGCCAGGUCCCAGCACAGGACUCGGCAAGCAUGCGCCCACCUGGCGUGGCAGGGGGCAGGGGCAGAAAGAGGAGGGGUCGCUGCCCUCCCUUCUCCGUGGGGGCAGCGGGGUACCUCCCCGAGAGAAGGCAAGCGGUCUUUUCUUUUUUGUUUCUUUUUAAAAGUUUCCCUGCGUCUGCCGUCUCCUGCCACGCUCCCUGGCGGCCUCCUAGAGGCACGAGGGGUCCUGUGGUUUCUCAGGACUCUGGAAAGAAGCCCCAGGGGGACAGGGACAGCGGGAACAGAGCCCUGAUGGGCCAGGGAAGGUGGCCCUUGGACAGGGCGGUGGGGGCGGCCCUCCACGGGCACACUGAGCAGCCCCCAGGCCGCUCUGUGCCCCUGGGCGAAUCGCAGCGGCUCUCGGCUUCAGUUUGCUCAGCCCUGGAUGGAGCAAACGCCCAGCUGUCCGUCGGAGGGUGGAGGCAAAGCAGGCUGAGAGAGCGGAUGGUCAUGUCUUCAAAACUGGUGGUUAUUCCCCACUCCCCGAGAGCCAGACGCGGUGCUGAGUGCUCUGUGGAGAUGGAGGUGGUCCCCUGUUCAUUCGCUGCAGACCCCAGAGCUGGCGUUGUCGUGGUCCCCGUGGUGGGGGGUGAGGCUGAGAGAGGCUGUGGUCCCUGCCCGAGGUCAUCUGACCUCAGGCGCUGCAGCAGGAGCUGGGACCUGGAGCGGGGCUCUGACCCGCUUGCUGGGUGGCCCCCAGAGCACCCUUUCUCCCUGGCGACCCCACCCGUGCGCCGGUCAGAGAGAAGCUCCUCCUGCCCCUGGCCUACAGCUUUGCAGAUCUCUUCCUCUCGUAGUCACGGGAUCUGUUCCCCGCUUCAGAGACUGCACAGUAAACAACCCUGCCAUUUUGAACAAAGGGGCAGCGUGGUCUGUAACGGCCACGCUCCGCGUGGUUAUAAGACAUGAAAGAUAACCGUCUCAUCAUGUCUCGUUUCCACUAAUGGAGAGCGUGCCUCCAAGGAUGUGUGUGUUGUGUGCAUGAGUGUGUCACGUACACGAGUGCACGCGUGCAUCACGUACACGUGGGCACGUGCAUGUCACGUGCACGGGUGUCACGUACACACGUGUGCACGUGUGGUGCACCCACCUGCACGUGUGUCACGCAGACUGUCGCGUGCAUGUGUGCACGUGCAUGUAGUGUGCACACGUGUCGUGUACACGCGUGUACCGUGUCCGUGUGUGUUGUGUCCACGCACGUGUGCGCUUGCAUGCGUGUGGAGAAUCUCACCCCUGGAGGUGAAAGGCACACUGGUGUUAGAAGCUGUGGCACAGGCAGGGCGAAAGGUCCACGUGGCUUCCAGGGCUCCCCAGGCUGGGGAGCUCCUGCCCAUCUCCUUGCUCCCUGCCUCCGAAGAUUCCUUUAAAGAAGAUCAAGUCCUUUCAUCGGACACUUGGGGCGAGGCCAACAAGGCCAUGCCGGGGUGGCCCUUGGGUGUGGAGGAGCUUUGGUUAGAGCAGGGCCAGUCAGCAAGGGCUCAGGCGUCCUUUUCAGACCAUUUCCCCUGUGAGGCCGAGGGUGACGGGGGGAAGGUGGACUCAGUGGACGCGGGGACCCGCCUCUGCCUUUUGUCUGCAGGUCCCAGAGGCCUCGCACGUCGCUGGGGUGUGUUGUCAAGGGUUCAUCCUGCUGACAGGCAGGGCAUCGUAUUCCAAACAGCGCUAUUUGCAUCAGGCCUGUGCUGAGAACGCAGCUUCCUAGGAAACAGAGAAAGACUGCCCUCGGGGAGCUUGUAGUCAAACACUCAAGGACAUGACUAUGCUGUAAAUACUAGAAGGCUCACGUUUAUUGACCACAUUCUACGCCCAGAUGGAGGUGUUCUGCAGAGGUUGUCUUGAUACCUUCCACAGUUCCGGAAGGCAGGUAUUACUUACGUUUUAUGAAUGAAGAAGCAUAUUUAGAGAAAGGAAGCAACUUGUCUUAGGUCACACAGCUCACUGAGGGCAGAGAGGAGAAUCUGACCCUCACUGUCUGCCUAGCUACCCGCCGAGUGAGGUUGGCUGUGGGCCUGGGGUGUCCCGCACACACACAGGGCUCAGAGGAGCUGGAUUGCUGCCUUGCUCUCUCCUCUGGAGGUCCUGCUCCAGGUCAGGCUCCCCAGUGGCUGACCCGGCUCGCUGUGGCCGCCUGGGUAGAUGGGCUGGUGGCGGGGGUGGUGGAUCACCCUCAGGGCAGAGAGGACAGAGGUGCCCGUGCUCGGAUUCAAUCUCCUGUCUGGCGGUUGUCCAAGAACCAGCUGGACCGCUGCGCGCUGCGGUUGGACCCCUCUGGGGUCCCCGCCUCCCGAGGAGGGUCUCCAGGAAAUGUCUCCAGCAAAGACUUCGAGGAUACAACCUGCUGACUGCAUGGGGACGGCUGUGGCACACCCGAAGGCCCCCGUCUCAGUGCAGCGGGCGCGGAGACUCGCUGUCCUGGCUUUGAAUGUCCGCUGCCCUCCUCCCGGCCCCAUGACUCGGCUCCAGGGGUGGUUUCCUGUGGGCAGUAGGUGGUUCUCCCGCUUGAGAUGCAGUUGAAGAAGCUCUUCUCUUUGGAUUGAUGGUGGAGAAGCAGGCUGACCUGCUGGGCUUACAGCCUAAACCUUAGAUGAGAAAAAGUGAGGCCAGACCCUCCCACCGCUUCCUGAAAUCCUUCAGGACACUUCCUGGGGCUUCCUGAUGGUCCCAUGGUUAAGAUGCCGAGCUCCCGAAGCAGGGAGGCGGGCCUGGGUUCUAUUCGUGGUCAGGGAACUAGGCCCCACACGCCGCAGCUGAUACCAGGCGCAGCCGAGAAAACAUAUAAGAAAAUACUUUCUGAAAAUUCUUAGUGAGAGAGAGCAGAAAGCAAAGUAGUUGUUUGCUUGGACCAAAUGGACGGUGGAGAAAUUUGCUUAAGUCAACUGCAGGCUGGACGCCCUCUGCACAGGCUGUCCUAGGGUGGAGGUACGUCUUCCACUGGUAAACACCUGUACCUGGAAGGAGUCUUGAUAUGUGCUUUUUUUUUUUUUUAAUGAAAUCGUCUUAUCAGUCGAUCUUCAUGGGAGAAAUGUAUUCAUGUGUUGGUCUAUUCUACAAAUAUUUGUUAAGCUUGUACUGUUGGCCUGGCUCUGUGUGACAUGCUGAGGAGACAAAGGUCCAUUUAGAUCAGUGCCCUUGAGGACGGCACUCAGGUAAUGAAUAGACAAGGCUUGGGGACAAGUGAUUACAGUGACCUUGUGGGCAGUGGCUGGAGAUAAGUCUGGACUUCUAAGGAAACGAUGCUUGGGAUAGAGGGAAGACUUCCCUAGGGACGGGCAGUGUCUCAUGACGGUUAAGAGGUGUUCAGAGGAUGUCUCAGGGAGGAGAUGAGACUGGGCUUCUCAGGCAGAUGGAACCACAUGUCCAGAACCACAGAGGCUUGAUGGAGUUUCUCUAAGGAAUGGUAAUGUUGUUGUUUCGUCGCUAACUCUUGUCCGACUGUUUGUGACCCCAUAGACUGUAGCCCGCCAGGCUCCUCCGUCCAUGGACUUCUCCAGGCAAGAAUACUGGAGUGGGUUGCUGUUGCCUUCUCCAAGGAAGGGAUGGUAAUACUGGGAGGCAGAGGUUUUGAGGAAUAGAAUGUGAGACACUGCAUGUGAAAUGCACAGUUCUAGGGGCUUCCCUGGUGGUCCAGUGGUUAAGACUCUAGUCUUCCAAUGUAGGGGACACAGGUUCGAUCCCUAGUCAGGGAACUAAGAUCCCACAUGCCACCCGGUGUGGCCAAAACACAAAAAAUGUUUUUUUUAAUUAUCAAUGAAGUAUACACAGCUCCAUGCCAGGAAAUAGCCCUCGAAAAAACAUUAGCUCUUAUUGUCUUUCUAAUAAGAUAACUAAGGUCACUCCCCUUCCCCUCUUUGUCAGCCUUUUCUUUACUUUCUCUUGCAUCCUUAGUGUGUUUCUUCAUAAUGGGAUGAGAAACUUUAGGAUGGAUAAGUUGCCAAAGGAAAAUUUGACAUAACUAUUUCUCUUUGUGGAGCUUUGGGUAUUAUUUUCAAUGUAUUCUUAUCAUAUGUUGCUUUGAACUGGGCUGAUAUGUUUCCUUUCAAGAGUGACUAGAAUUUAGCACGGAUUGAAUCGAUGGCUGGAGUUUGUUGGAGAUGUGGAAUUAUGAUGAAUAACCAACGUGAUUGACGGUAGAAGUGAGUGUGUUUUUCAAAUCACUUUUUCACACCUCUGUUUUUAUGUACUCUGUGUGUGUAUGCGCACACAGGCGCACGCACGCUCAAUUGCUCAGUUAUGUCCAACUCGACAUAACUAUAGCAACCCAUGACUAUAGCCCAACAGGCUCCUCUGUCCAUGGAAUUUUCCAGGCAAGAAUACUGGAGUGUGCCAUUUCCUACUCCCGGGGAUAUUCCUGACCCAGGGAUCGAACCCGCACCUCUUGUGUCUCCUGCAUUGGUGGAUUCUUUAGCACUUUGCCACCUGGGAAGCCCUAUGUACUUCUGAGUUUAGGCGGAAAACCCCUUGGAGGGUAUUCAGCCGUGUAUCUUGGCGUUGUGCGGAGGCUUUAUUGGGAGGGUGCUGAGGGAGGGGGGAAGCCGAGAGUGGUGGAUACCAGGGAGAGACUGAGGAGAGGAUAUACAACCAAGAUGCAGAAGACAUCCUCUUCCGUGAAAUGCUUUUCAAGUUUUAAUGUCCAAGCUCCUCUGGGAGAUUACAGACACAGGCAUGAACUGAUACUUCUAGGAGGUCUAGGGUUUGGUCUUGGCAGCCCAGAAGUUUCUUAGAAGUCCCUUUCAUUGACCCCAUCCCACCAUGAGAUGACACAUUGCAGACAAUACUGUUUGGGUUUCCCACCGGCUUUCAUCCCAAACUCGGGCACAAGCUACUAAAGAUGUUUGCCUCUGGCUUCUCCUCCCUGGUAAACUGUGGGUCCAGCACAAGUCAUUCCAGCCAGAGAACAUUGUCCAUUUCUUCCAGUUGGUUUCUGUGCGCUUAGCACAAAUUUUCUCACCAUUUGGGGUAACUCGUGGGCUGCAACCUGCAACAUUAUUGCAGGCUGUGUUCCUGUAUCAUGGGCUCACAGAUAGCUCCAGCCGGAAGCUUUUUCAUCAAGUGCCUUUAGGGUAGAUAGGAGAGGACUUCUGAUUCUUUUGUCAGACAUGCAUGGGAGUGGGUGUGAAGGGAUAGCCCAGGGAGCUGAUGUCCUGGAUGAGCAUCAAAGUGAAAGAAACACAUGUGCACAGAGAGAGAGUGACAGAAAGCCUUACGUCAGUGGCUGGAUUCUUUCCUUUUUUUCUGUAAAAUUUCAGCGAUCAGCAUGGUUAUAUUUUAAAGUUACAAGAAACAGGGACUUCGCUGGUGGUCUGGUGCUUAGGACUCCAUGCUUCCAAUGCAGGGGAGCGCGGAUCCGAUCCUUGGUUGGGGAACUAGGAUUCCCAUGUGGCAUUUGGCAUGGCCAAAGGAUAAAAAAAUAACUAAGUAAAAAAAUAAAGUGCAAGGAAUAAUCUAGCCUGGGUCCUCUCCUGGCCCACCCGUCCAGCUAUCUCCUGGUUCACCGCAGUUGAUGGGUCACGUCAUUAGGAAUAUCUCCUCUGUCCUUUAUGCCCACCCCCGUGGGAGUAUCUGAACGCGUUUCAGGACCUCAAGUGGGUAAAGGGUCUCUGAUUUCAUGCUGUCUGAGACAGGCUGCACUGGGGAUCAGUUUUGGAGACCAGACGGUCUCCCUCCAUUUUCCAAAUUCUUUAAUUAAUGAAGAGCAAAAGGACUUCCCUGGCGGUCCAGGAGUUAAGACUCUGCCUCCCAAGGCAUGGGGUGCAGGUUCCACCCCCGGUCAGGGAGCUAGGAUCCCAGGUACCCAUGGCCAAAAAACCACAGCAUAGAGCAGAAGCAACAUUGUAACAAAUUCAAUAGACUUUAAAAAAUGGUCCACAUCCAAAAAAAAAAAAAAGAACAAAGGGCGAGAACUUGCUGAAAUUCCUACUCUGCUCUCAUUGGGGUGGUUGUGAGAGUUGAUUAAAAUGACGAUGUUUAUUUUUUGGGUUGUUUCUGGCAUCAAAAGUGUGACAAUUAAUAGGUUCUCGGCUUCUAGAAGCAGAGAACGGACUUAUCUUUAACUACGCUGUGCGUGUGUACAAAUAAGUGUUGCUUUUUCUGGUGUGUGUGUGUGUAUACCUGGGCCCAUGUUCCCCGGCUGGCAUAUGUAUUUAUGCACAAACGUGCAGGACUAUAAAUAAAAACCACAAAUGAAUGCCUUGGAGGGAAGCGUGAGGGCUGCCCUUUUUGCUUGCUGCCGUCAGCGAGGCAGGCGCCUCUGCUUAGGCAGCGGAGUCGGGAAGAGCGGCUGUGGGAGGGGCUGGCGGAGGCUGCUGGGGCUCUGGGGGCUUCUGUUGGCCCAGUGGGUGUGUUUUCCUGGUGCUGACUUUAAAGAUGAACCUUGAUUUUGAGGCUCCAGGGCCAUGCAGUGUGGCCUCAAAGACAGACUCUGGUAAAUCCUCUGUAGGUCUUCCUACGGACAGCGCUUGUCUGGGUCUGAGACCACGUGAAGACUUCCGGGGAGGUAGACCGGGAGGGACCCCUUGUGAGCAGAAACAGUAAGGAAUGGGGGCGUCUAGGCCGUGGUGGUCCAGUGGUUAUAACUCUGUGCUUCCGAUGCAGGGGACAUAGGUUCGAACCCUGUUCUGGGAACUAACAUCACAUGUGCUGUGAGGUGCUGCUUGGAGCAUUCCAUGGACAGAGGAGCCCGGUGGGCUACAGUCCACGGGGUUAGCAAAAAGUCAGACAGGACUGAGCGGCUAUCACCUUCACUUUUCCUCUUUAACGUGUGUGUAUAUAUAUAACUGACUCGCUUUGCUGUGCUCCUGGAACUAACACAACACUGUAAAUCAACUAUACAAUAAAAGCUGAUUAGAAACAAAAAUAGUAAAUCAACUCUACUUCAAUAAUUUUAAUUUAACAUAGAAAAAAUUUUAAAAAAGUAAGCAAAUCUUAAAUGUACAGCUCAGUGAAUUUUUCCGUAUACCUCCAUGGAACCACCAAGAAAUAGAAUAUUUCCAGCCUUCUGGAAGGUACCGUCUUGUUACCUCUCAGUCAGUAAUGCUCCCUCCCUCCCUCCCUCUCUUAGCCAUUCUAUGGUUAAUCGUACUGUUAAGGUGGCAAAGGCAAGGUUUACAGUCUCCCAGCUGAAUGGCCCGCAGACAAACCCAUCCAACAAAGAAAGAAAGGAAUAUUUUCUUGUGGAGAUGUGGCUAGGUUUGGUUGGAGUUAAAAAUGAAGCUCGGUGGAUCCUAAAACCUUUUUGUGGCUGAAAUAUUUAGACACUGUAUUUUAAGAAAACUUUUUACUCAUUUGUAGACUUUUAUCUGGCCAGGUUUCCAUCCUGAGGGUUUUCCUUUCUACUUAUCUGACAAACCAUAAAUUUUCUUUCCUUUAAGGGCAAAACCAACCCUCGAGCACAUUUAUGGCCCAAGUUUUAAAAGCCGGCGGCCCUUUCUAGCUUGUAUCUCUGGUUAAACAUGUCUCCUUUUCUUGGAGCGGUUUAUGCAGAAAGGAGCUGAAGAUAAUGAAUUCCUCUAGAGAGAGCUCCUGCCCGCCCAGUGCGAGAGAGGAUGGAGGGAAAGCCCCCUUCAUCAGCUGUGGCCGGCUAGUCACGCUCUGGAAGUCUUCCUCCUGGUUCCACCGGGGUCUUUCUUUAUCUAACCUCAGUGGCUUUUUCCUUCUUGGCUUUUGAUUCAUUCUCCUCUGCAUCCUUGAAAGAGUGUCAGAUUUUUGGACCUCGGACAAUUCAUGUGUAGCAAUCCACGCUGAUUUUUGUGAGUCUGUUUGUUUCCAGAACUGAAACCUGCUUUUCGACGAGCUGCCUAGCGAUUGGUUAAUUAGUCGACUUUAGCUUCCCCUGGAGGACAAGGUCGCAGAGUGUCGGGGGUUGGGGGAGACUUUAUGCCCUUCCUGUUGGCUCAUGUGUUGGGGGCGUUAGCCAUGGGGAACUGGGCUCUGUGACUUGGAAAAGAAAUCUAUUGAAGGGAUUUCCUUCCUGCUUCUUGUGCUGUUGGAGAGAAGAUGGGUGAAAAUUUUGGUUACCCCUGGAGCACAGAGCAGUUUUUCCCCUUAUGAAGAGCUGACUUGUUGGAAAAGACCCUGAUGCUGGGGAAAGAUUGAUGGCAAGAGGAGAAGGGAAUGACUGAGGAUGAGAUGGUUGGAUGGCAUCAUCAAUUCGAUAGACAUGAGUGAACAAACUCUGGGAGAUAGUGAAGGACAGGGAAGCCUGGCGUGCUAUGGUCCAUGGGGUCACAAAGAGUCAGACACGACUGAGCAGCUGAACAAUAGAAUAGAUCUCAUUUGGAGCGCAGAUUUUUUUUUUUUUAAUUGAAGUAUAGUUGAUUUACAAUAGUGUUGGUUUCAGGUACAGUAAAAUGAUUUAGUUACAUACACAUACACACACACACACGCGCACACACAUAUUCUUUCUUUUCAGUUCUUUUCCAUUAUAGUUUAUUACCAAAUAUUCCAUAUAGUUCCAUGUGCUCUACAGUGAGCCUUUUUACCUGUUUUAUAUGCGUGGUUUUGUGCAUCUGUUAACCCCAUAAUCCCAGUUUAAUUCUUUCCCAACCCCUGAGCAUAGAGCUUUUAAUGCGCGUGAUUGUGGACCCAGAGCGCUCCUAAUUUCGCCUGCACUGCGCACCUACUGUGCUCCAGAUCAGACAGUGGGUGCACUGCCGGGGCAUUUCCCAGUGAGGCUUCGGCGUCUCUGGCUUCCAGUGCUGCUUGCCCAGGGAGCUUUGAGGUGUGGUCUGGUCCUUCCCUCUUUUGGCAAAGCCACUUCUCGUUGAUUUCCAGAAAUGUGAUUAGGAGUCUUUUCCUGGGUGUAAAGGCCACGCACGGUGACGCGCUUUAGGUACCAGCUGCUGGCAAGGCUGAUGGGACGUGGGAUCACUUCCCGGCCCCUUCGGUCAGGAUCGUCUGCAGGCUUUGGAUGGGACGUGGGAGAUGUAUUUUUGUAGAGAUAUAAGGCUCUAAGUCACUUUGCUGACAAAGUCUAGUCAAAGUUACGGUUUUUCCAGUAGUCAUGUACAGAUGUGAGAGUUGGACCAUAAAGAAAACUGAGCGCUGAAGAACUGGUGCUUUCGAACCGUGGUGCUGGAGAAGACUCUUGAAAGUCUCUUGGACUGCAAGGAGAUCCAGUCAGUCAACCCUAAAGGAAAUCAACCCUGAAUAUUCAUUGGAAAGACUAUUGCUGAAGCUCUAAUACCUUGGCCACCUGAUGUGAAGAGCCAGCUCGUUGGAAACCGACCCUGAUGCUAGGAAGGAGGAGAAGGGGACGGCAGAGAAUGAGAUGGUUGGAUAGCAUCAUGGACGCAGGGGUCAUGAAUUUGAGGAACUCCAGGAGAUGGUGAAGGACAGAGGAGCCUGCGUAUGGGGUUGCAGAGUCAGACACGACUUAGGGACUGAACAACAGGCAUGUCCGACUCUGGCUCCAAAACACCGUUUCAAGAGACGAGAAUACCAGGAUGGGUGAGUGCGCUGGGUGCUGGCCCAGCUUUCAUGUUACUCGUGUUGAGACUCCAGUUGGGAGAGGGGGGAGGGUCUUCAUCAUCUCUUUGCUCAGUUUUCUUUUCGAUCACAUGUGGAGAAUAAUCCUACCCUCCUUAUAUCACAGAGGUCUUUAUGAAGAAAGACAGUUCAAAGCCCAGAAACGUGUAAAAUGUAUUUCCCAGAGGUUUGAAUGAAACUCCUGACCCCUCCUGAGUCCCAUGAUCUUUGUAACAGACUGUGAGCUCCUCUCCUUACACCCAUUUAUCCGUCUCGUUGCCCUUGUUGCUAAGUCAUGUCCGACUCUUCGCAACCCCGGGUACUGCAGCUCACCAAGCUCCCCUCUCCUCCACUAUCUCCCUCGCGCCUGUUCCUAGGUCUCCAGGACAUGCCCUGGGACCCGUUUCAAGACAGUGUUUAAUACACAACCCUGAAGACUCUUACAAGCCUUUCUGGGUAACACUUACUUCAUUGAACUUUUCAGAAAUGAAAAAAAAAAAAAAAAGAAGAAAACGCCGUUUAGCAGACUCAUGGUCACGGGCUGACAGAUGUCACUCAGAAUUUUAUUAUUUAAAGCCACAGUGAUUUUCCAAAUAACCUAAAAAUAUAUAAUCCAACCUCAAAAUAGUGUCCUGUAACAGAGGCCAGAGAGCCCUGAAGGAAAUGAAGUCAGUAUCUUGGCACCCCUUAUGUACUGGUUCAGUGACUUUGAGAACUUCUACUUUCUCUGAGAAACUCAGGCACAUGGAACUGUAUCAGGUUGCUGAGUGUGUCUGCCAAGGUCUCAGAGAGCGGGGGCUGGCUUGGGUGUCUUCCUGUGGUACCCAAGCCAGGGUGACACCUCUUUUAUUCAUGUAAGGAACUUUGUCCCCACUCUUUCUAAAAUUUUGUUGUUCAGUUGCUCCGUCGUGUCUGGCUCUGCAACCCCAUGGACUGCAGCACACCAGGCUUUCCUGUCCUUCACUAUCUCCCGGAGUUUGCUGAAACUCAUGUUCUGUUUAGUUUGCUCAAACUCAUGUCCAUUGAAAUGCCAUCUGACUGUCUCAUCCUCUGUCACCCCCUUCUCCGUUUGCCCUUGAUCUUUCCCAGCAUCAGGGUCUUUUCCAGUAACUCUAUUUAUUUUUGACCGUGCUGGGUCUUCGUUGCUGAAGGGCUCUUCUCUAGCUGCAGUGAACAGGGCUGCUCUCUGGCUGCAGAGCGCGGGCGUCUCGUCGUGGUGGCGUCUCUUGUUACAGAGUCCGGGCUGUAGGGCCCGUGGGUUCAGUAGCUGCGGCCUCCCGGCUCUGGAGCGUGGGCUCAGGGGUUGUGGGGCACAGGGGCUUAGCUGCUCUGAGGCGUGAGGGAUCUUCUCGGACCAGUGUCUCCUGCAGCGGCAGGCGGACUCUUCACUGCUAAGCCGCCGGGGAUGCCCGUCUCCUCCCCGUUCUUCGGGAGCGUGGGUGGGGAGAGAACGGCCUUGAUGCCUUUUGAAAGACCCGGCACCUUCCAGUCUGACAGCUGUUCGGCUGUAUUCAGAAGAUCCCAUCCUGAAUCUGGGCAGGUGGGUGGGAGACACAGUUGUCAAAGGAAAAUGAAAUGUCUUGAGCACCUACCAUCACCCAGGCAGUGUGCUCCCCUCAACCCUCGUGUUUUUUAUUUAUUUCCACUCAUUAUUUAAGUCAAUAUUCAGUAGUAUUGAUUUAAACUUUUUAAAAAAACAUUUAUUGACGUGCAGUUGAUUUACAACUUUUUUUUUUCUCUCACUGCACCGCACAGCUUGUGGGAUCUUAGUUCCCCAACCAGGGAUUAAAUCCGCACCCCCUUGGAAGCAUAGAAUCUUAACCACAGGACUGCUGGGGAAAUCUCAAUAGCGUUGAUAUUUAUACCAAUUACGUGAACACAUAAUUAAUCAUAAGUAAUCCAUUUGUUGGGCUUCCCUGGGGACUUAGACAGUAACAAAUCUGCCUGCGAAGGCAGGAGACACAGGUUCAGUCCCUGAGUGGGGAAGGUCCCGUGGAGAAGAAAAUGACUACCCACUCCAGCAUUCUUGCCUGGGAAAUCCCAUGGGCAGAGGAGCCUGGGGGGCUACAGUCCAGAGUCGCAGAGUCGGACACAACUUACAGACUAAGACAACCACCACCACCACCCAUGGGUUAAACCACCUUGUGAGAAUUAUGGUCCCAUUUUACAGAUGAGGAAGUGGAGUCCUGGACAUGUUCAGGAACCCACCCUGAGUGUUACGGGUAGGAGAUGGCAGAACCCGUGUUUGAGUCUAGGUGGAUUGAUUCGGAUUUUGGCGAUGGCGCGAAUCUCUUUGCUGUCUCUAUAUCCUGAACCAGGAGCCCUGGGGCCGCGGGUGGGACCGACAAGGCCGUCUUUCUAGGACUAGCAGUCACGGAACUGGUGAGUCUUGACAUGGGGGGCGGGGUGGUGCGUGUGGCAUUUUCCCCUUUUCCGUGCCCCAGCCUUUCCGAGAAGCCGUCCCCAGGUGUCAGCUCCUGCGCCACGUCCGUCCUGCUGGAGGCUCUCUCUCCGGGUCGGUCUCCAGGAAGCAUCUCUGGGCGGCUUCCGAGCUGGGGGAGCGGCCAGCCUCUGACUGGCUGUUGUUUGGUUUUCUCUGACUGGAUCUUUGUUUCCGUGAAGCCCUCAGCUGCCCAGGCUCUUGCGCCGGCUUGAUCGGGGCCACAUGCAGUGCUAGCCUGGUUAAGUCAACACCGUGGGAAUAUUACCUGUCUGUUAACCUGUCAAGAUUGCUUUACGGUCCCCUUUUAUCUCCCCCUCCAUGCCCAACGGAAUUUCCCCUGGAGUUUUCUGCCUGCCUUCCUGCAUCCUGCAAAGCCGCCCCCACCCCCGAGUCAUUAAAUAUUGUCAGAGUUCCGCCACUUGCUGCCGCCUUAUUUGCCCAGUGCAGAUAAACUGGUGUUGAGUCUGUGAUCUGGACCAAGGACACUGGGCUCCCAGCCCCGAGAAAGUCGAAGCGACGCCUGCCAGGUGGAGGUGGUGGUGGUAGGGGGGUGGUCCGCGGGGUCUUGGGGCUGCCUGAGCCUGGGGGGUACUGGGGGUGCUGCCCGAGCCUGCAGUGGGCUGGGGAGGGGCUCUCUGAGCUGCUGCUCAGCCGGUCAGCUCUCUGGCUCAGGGGCCUGGCCACCUUCCCUGCCUCUUCCUUCCCUCCCUGCCCACUCCACCCUCUCUCUAAACACCAACUUCAUAAACUGGAGGGUCUUAGGGGAAUGUCCAGUUCUAAACCUCAGAGAGCCUCAGACCUGGCUCCGAGCUUUUCGUCUCACGCUUGAUUGAAUAAGUUCAGCGGUUCUUUAGAGAUUCACCCUUUUUGCCCCCCAUAACAAUGACAGAAGGCUUAUAACGUCAAAUGCACCCUUGUGAUCAUUUUAAAGUGUACGGGUCAGUGGCCUUAAGGAUGUUCACGAUGUCGUGCGGCCAUCACCACCGUCUGUUCUAGAAACUUCCAGAAGGACUGCGGAAGGAAGCCCUGCACCCGUUAGCAGUCACGACCCUCCCUCCCUGCACGGAGGGACCCUCCCUCCCGCGACCCUCCCUCCCAUGACCCUCGUGGACCCUGGCCACCUUGAAUCUACUUUCCGUCUCUCUGGAUUCGCUAGGUCUGGAUAUUACGUAUCAACGGUCUCAUGCUCUGUGGCCUUUUGUGUCCGGCUUCUUGUACUUAGCAUGAUGGACGCGAGAUUCCAGAAUUCACUGUUUCCGGCUCAGGUUGAGGACCCCUACAAAGGACAACGGGGCAGCUGCUGAGGGCAUCUGGGCUAGGCUUAACCUGGUCCUCAAGUCUUGACCUGAGCCUCUGAUCUCCCCGUCAGUGGCCUGCUGCUUCAGAGACUUCCCGCUGCCUCCUAGGGGAGGCCGUUUGGAUGUUCAUGGACACCAUCGGGCCUCCCUCCCUGCCAGGCUGGGCGGGGACCAUGGGAGCCCCAGGGUCUGGAGCUGCUGGGGUCUGGGGUGACUGUGUGGGGAGGGGGCCCUCCUGGGCAGCCCUCCACCCCUCCAUGAUCCUGCCAAGUGCUGUGGCCCUUCCAUCCUCUGGGUCGGAAAUGGGACAAGUCCUGGAACCGAUUCCUCAUCGGCCACCUGGGCUCCGCACAUUGUCCAACAGAGCCCUGUCUUUGGAUCAGAGAGUCUGUGUAAUGUUAGGGCUGUGGGCUUCGAGUCAGCUGGCCCUUUAAAUCUUCUCUCUGCCCUCACCUCGCUGCAAGCUCUCAGUUUUUCCUCCUGCAGAACAGGGAAGACAGGGGUCCUUACGUGAGGACUAUGAGGGAACUGGAUGUGUUGGUAACCGUAAACCACCAUGGUGGGCCUGGCAUUUAGCAUGUGGACAGUAAUGGGUCAUUGUUAAUAAGAUCUGGGAUUAAAAAAAAAAAAUCAGUGCAUCCACAUCAACUUGGCGCCCUUCUAGAGUUCUGGCAACUUCUAGAAAGUGCACAGGGCUUUACUGUAUCAUUUAAUUUGAUGCGUUAGCUGGCUUUCAGUUCGAAAAGCUCCAAACUCAGAUCACAGUUUGUUCUGCGACGAGGAGAAAACGUUACUCCUCUCCGAGUCAGCUGCCAGACAGAAUGACCCCCGUUUCUGCUUUCUGUGUAUUUGUUUCGCUGUCAUUUGGGGGAUUUCUGACCUUCUGAGGCUGUUCCUCGCUCAUUCCUGUUUCCAUUCCAGUAGGCUGGCCCUGGGGACGCUGGGGACUCAGUGCUCAUUAAUCUCGAGUGACAUGUGUGGGGUCUGGAGAGCAUGAAAGAGUUAACAUGCCUCCUGAGGGCCCAGGCCUCUCGGCUUAGGGGGGGCGUGGCUUCGUUUUAUUUGCAGCAGGUUUAGUGAAAUUCGGUGAAGCUUCCUGAACACCUACUAUGUGAGUGUGCGAAGUAGGCUGUGAGAGGCUGGUGGGCCUCCGAUGUUGGGUUCCAUUUAGAGCUGGUUUGGGUGGUGCGUGAGGUGUGAAAGACCACUGCAGAGGGCAACAACAAGGCCCCUCUGUGUAGCAGAGGGGAUGACAUUCAGCGUCCUGGGAUAAAGGGGAAUGGAAAAGAGUAUGGCGAAAAGAACGUCGCUGUGCAUGACCGAGCCGCUUGGCUGUGCGGCAGGGGUUGGUGAGGGUGGUGUGUGUUGUGUUUCUCACUCAGUCAUGCCCAUCUCUUUGUGACCCCAAGGACUAUAGCCCACCAGGCUCUGCUGUCCAUGGACUACUCCAGGCAAGAAUACUGGAGUGGACAGCCACUCCCUUCUCCAGGGGAUCUUCCCAGCCCAGGGACUGAACCGAGGUCUCUUGCAUCGCAGGCGGAUUCUUUAUUCUCGGAGCCACCAGAAUUGGUGCAACAUUCUAAGUCAACUAUGCUGCUGCUGCUGCUAAGUCGUUCCAGUCGUGUCCGACUCUCUGUGACCCCAUAGACAGCAGCCCAUCAGGCUCUGCCAUCCCUGGGAUUCUCCAGGCAAGAACACUGGAGUGAGUUGCCAUUUCCUUCUCCAGUGCAUGAAAGUGAAAAGUGAUAGUGAAGUUGCUCAGUCCCGGACACGACCGAGAGACUGAGCACAGCGCACGAGCUUAGAAGGAUGAGCUCAACCCAAGUCAAGAGCCAAUCAACAGUUGCCUCUGAGGGUUUCAUCUCCACCCUUGUAGGCCAAGGUCAUGUGUCAGCGAGGCUGGUCCACCUGGGCUCUCAGCCCUCCCAGGGGCCCUUUUCAAUCUGUAGCAGCAGAUUCAUUCCUCUGUCUGUUAGGGGAAUGUCGGUCUCACCCACUGGCCUCGGGAGGUGGGUGGUUUCUGAUCACAUUCUGUCUCCAAAACCUGGCACGGAACAGGCUCUUUAACUGUGAAAUGUGUGAAUGGACAGAUGACCCCAGGACUCCUGUGUCCACCUUUCAGCCAUCUGGUAGACCCCAGCCUCCUGCCCCGGUUGGGUGCAUGUGGGAUAAGGCCCUCUGAACAUGGGUGGCCGAGUCCAGCUCCCUCCCAGAGAUUGGCAGAGAGCUCGGCCGUGCCCUGCACAGCCCCCAGCCAGCCUGCGCCAUCUGUUUGCCGCAGCCUGAAGCCUUGGGUGGCGGGUCCAGUGAUACUGUGGUUUCCCUUCCCCUUCCCUACCUCUCGCUGCCCAUCUCUAGGUGGGCACAGUAAGGAGCACUGGUAAGAGGAACCCAGGGGUUAAACCAGUCCUAUUCUGGGAGCCUGGAGCAGGUAGGGACAAACGAGUCCCAAACCAAGUUCAAAGGGGCUGAAGUGCUCUCGAGUCCUUACAGGCAUUUGCUUGCAGUGCACGUCAAGAUGCCUGCAGCAUCCACCCUGCCUCUUUGUUGCUGUUCAGUCGCUCAGUCGUGUCCGACUCUCUGCGACCCCAUGGACUGCAGCACAUCACGCUUCCCUGUCCUUCACUGUCUCCUGGAGUUUGCCCAAACUCAUGUCCACUGAGUCAGUGAUGCCAUCCAACCAUCUCAUCCUCUGCUGCCCCCUUCUCCUCCUGACUUCAGUCUUUCCCAGCAUCAGGGUCUUUUCCAAUAAAUCAGCUCUUCACCUCAGGUGGCCAAAGUAUUAGAGCUUCAGCAUCAGUCCUUCCAAUGAAUAUUCAGGGUUGAUUUCCUUUAGGAUGGACUGGUUUGAAGUCCACCUGGCCUUGGCUGGAAUCAGAACCCCUGAGAAAAGAGUCACUGCUACUGUCCUGUGACACUGCCCGGGGUGGUGUCUGGAUCCAGGCUCCCUGAGUUUGCGUCCCGGCUAAGGCGUGGGUGACCCAGCCUCUAGAGGGUCUUAAAGGAAGUUCUCUGCUUUCCCUGGUUCCCUUUGCCCUCGGAGGUGGAGUUUGCGUCUCCCCUGUCAGAGGUGUGCCCUUUUGCGUAGCACUGUAACGCUGGUUAUUCCUACAUGCCAGCCUUCAUCUGCUGCAAGUUUUCUUUGCGCCCAGCAGCCUGUUUUAUUUGGCCUUCCCUGGUGGCAGAGAUGUUAAAGAACCCGACUGCCAAUGCCGAGACCCGGGUUCAGUUCCUGAGUCGGGAAUUUCCCCUGGAGAAGAGAAUGGCAACUCACUCCAGUAUUCUUGCCUGGGAAAUCCAUGGGGUCGCAAAGAAUCAGAUACAGGGAGGGCCUUACGCACGCACACACACAGCCUGCUCUGCUUACAGGAUGAAGGUCUGUCUGUAGUUGUCCUCUCUGUUGAAAUGUGUGCUGCCCGAAUACACGUAAGUAUUCAUGAUGAAGACAGACGCGACAUUGAGGGAAUAUGGCUGAAAGCUCAGGGCUUUGGUCAAGCUUCAUGGAAGUGUGGUCACUUUUACAGACUCCACGUCACAAUCUAACACACGCUGACACCCUCGCGUGAUUCGAAUCCUAAGGUCUGAUCUUAUAAUGGCUCAAGUUGUAAUUUAAGCUUGAUAGGUCGAAUUGGCUACAUGUCAGAGAUCUCCAGGGUUUCCCUAGGGGCUCAGAGGAUAAAGAAUCCGCUUGCAAUGCAGGAGACCUGGGUUCAAUUCCUGGGGCAGGAAGAUUCCCUGGAGAACGAAAUGGCAACCCAUUCCAGUAUUCUUGCCUGGAAUAUUGCAUGGACAGAGCAACCUGGCAGGCUACAGGGGAUCGCAAAGAGGCGGAUACAACUGAGCGGCUAACACUUUCACUUUCAGAGAUCUCUGAUUUGGUUUACAAAGACUCUAUUAGCAGAAAUGGGCUGCUUCACCCUGGAAGAUGCAGGCUGGAACAGUGGUGCUUUGCUGUUUUAAAUUUCCUUAAUUAAAAAAAAAAAUUUUUUUUGGCAGCACCUUGUAGCAUGUGAGAUCUAAGUUCCUUGACCCGGGAUUGAACCUACGCCCCCUGAAUUUGAAGGCAAGAGUCUUAACCACUGGACCACCGGGGAGGUCCUAGUGCUUUGCUUUCUAAGGCUCUGUUCUCCGUGCAGUAUCUCCUUCUUGAAUGACUACAGUGCUUCAUCAGUAAACAGGAGAAAGUGGCUCCUCUGUUUUAAAGUCUGGUUUUUUGUUUGUUUUCUUCCUUGGACUCAUAUUCUCUAUGCUGUCCCCUGGCUGAAGUCUUCUCCUCCAUAACGGCCAGGGGACCACUUGGGAGGAGGGGGACGGGAAUGUCUUCUGGGAAGACCCUGUAUCCUGUAACCAGUUGGAUUUUUCUCUUCCCUGAACAGAACCUCCUGAGGUUUCUGGGUGGAAUUCAAAAGUGAAGUAGGUUCUCCCAGCCACUGGAGCAAACGACAGAGUCCCCAGGGAGAUAAAAAGUCCAAGAUCCUGGGCAUUGUUCUCCUGGGAAUGGACCUGGCACCUGUGACCUCAGACACUUGAUCACUCCUGAUCUGAAGACAUGGCCUUCACCAGAAUGACAAUAUCACAAAUAUCAGGAUGAAGGAAACUUCUCACGGGGCAGCCCUUUCUCCUCCCAGAAUAUUCUCAACUUCCUGUUGUUUUUUAAUCAGCUGCCUUUAGAGGAGAGACUCUUACUUUAAAGCCGCGUUUCCCCCUCUAAGAGGUGGUGUUGUGUAUUAAUUCAAGCUGAGUUUGGCAUGGAAGAGUGUUCCCUCUGACCAGUAGCUUGUUUUUUCUUUUGCUUUGCUUUUCUCUUUGCAACCCGGGAUGGCACUUAAGAAUUCCCCAGCAUGGGGUAGGUCUCAUUUUUCUAAAUCUACCCUGCCUCCCUUUUUUUUUUUUCCCCUCCAAUCGUCUCAAAUAUAGAGCAUUUUCCUGCACACAGGGACAGAGUAUUUUGCACUGAAGAGUGGAGUCUCCAAAUAAAAUAUAGGCGUCUUUUGGUAGAGUGACCGUGCCACGGCUGGGCAGCUUCCUGGUUCAAGCUCACUCUGAGCCGUUUCAGACAGGCAAGCAGUUUUGUAGUCUCUCCCCCUCCCCCUGAUCCUUUCAGCAUCAGAAUUGGAAAAAAAAAAAAAAAAAGAGGCAUAUAACUUUGCUGACUAUCAAAUCCUUUUGUCCUUCCUGGUACACGCGUUACUGCACAAGCCUGCUUGGAGCUUGCCCUUCCGGGAGUCUCAGGAGAAACUACAAAGAGAUGUGAAGCAAAUUGAACUCGAUGGGGGGAGUUGCCCCUGGACCCUGAAAGUCGUUCCCUGACUGAAACGCUGAAGCCUGAAGCUCUCACUGUGUGUCAGGCCGAGAGUAGGGCCAGCGGCAAUGGGAGAGAAUGAAGGUCUGAUUUGGGGGUGCCUCUUGAAGAGAAUCAGUCUGGUUUUGAGAUGGGGGUGAUUGUCUUGGAAGUCCAGGAACUCUUUCCCACUGUCUCUCUAGAGUAGCAGUGCCCCACUUUUUGGCACCAGGGACCGGUUUCGUGGAAGACAGUUUUUCCACGGACUGCGCGGGGGAACGGUUUGAGGAUUCAAGUGCAUUGCUUUUGUUGUGCACUUUAUGUCUUAUUAGGUUAUUAUUACAUCAUAAUAGUAUGACUAAUACAUUGUAUUUGUUAUUUUUACAUCAGCUCCACCUCAGAUCGUCAGGCAUCAGAUCCCAGAGGCUGGGGACCCCUGCUCUAGCAUAUGGAAGAGUUGGUUUACCAAGUCAGUUUUUUUGGUCCUGGGUGAAUCUAAGGGAAAAUUAUCCAUCUGUUGGGAGGAGGCUAGUGGGCUCCGGCUUUCAGGAGAGUAUGGCCCGAUGAAUGAAGACUCUUAACCUGCUCGUGGUGCACUUCCAGAAUUUAUCCUGAUGCUGUCUCAGACAAGUGCACACAACCAUGCCGUUUGUCCAUCUGACACUUACGGAAAUGCCCUUUGAAUGGAGGGUGUCACCCACUGACCCCACCCAGUGCCAGGGAGCUGCUGAAAAUGCUGUCGGAGACUUCUGUUGAUAAAGAAAUGUUGUAUGUUCAUGAUGUAGGGUUGUGUAAAAAGGAUCUGUUUAAAAACUAUACCAGUGUGCUACAAGGUGGUACCCAAGACUGGGUCCUGGAACUGAAAAAAUGACGGGCCAGGAAGCUAAGGUGAUCCGGAUAAAAUCUGUGUUUAACAGAAAGGUACUGAUGUUAAUUUCUUAAUUUUGACAAAUAGCCAUGGUUAUGUAAAAUGUUGAUACCAUUUUAUCCUUCAUGGGUCAAGGAUAGACAGGAACUCUGUAUGACCUCGGCAACUUUUCUGUUUAUCUAAAAAUAUUCCAAAAUAAAAAAGUUUGGUGUUUUUUUUUUAAGCAUAUGAAAACACUUAAAAUUUUUGGAAGGAUUUUUAGUGAAAGAUUAACAGAUUACCUCUGAAUGCUGUGAUUAUAACUGAUCUUAGUUUUCCAGUUUACAAUGAGAGUUAUUUUGGGUUAAAAAAAAAUCGAUAAAGUUCAUUCCCUCUGGUGAAGGAGAUUAGCAUACACAUAUAAUUUGUUGUUAUCAUUGUUCUUAUCCCGUGGCCUAUCUCCCUCGCCAUUAUAUUUCUUUUUUAUUUGAUUGAGUUUUAUUUUUGGCUGUGCUGGGCCUUUGUUGCCGUUCUGGCUUUUCCCUAGUUGCAGCGAGCAGGGCUUAACUCUCGAGUUGUGGUGCGGGGGCUUCCCUGGUGGCAGAGCAGGGGCUUCAGUGGCCUGGCACCUGGGCGUAGUUGCGCUGUGCAAGUGGGAUCUUCCUGGACCGGGGAUCGAACCUGUGUCUCCUGCGUUGGCAGGCGGAUCCUUUAUCCCUGAGCCGGGGAAGCUUUCUCCGUUAGAUUUCCUAUAGAUCCUUUAGGGUUUAAGUUCUCCCUUCUGGGUGCAGCCAGGCAGGGAAGAUCACCUAUGAUGACAAAGCAUAGGAUGAAGGCCCUCUGGAAUCAGAGAGGCCUGUGUUUGAAUUCGUCUCUUACCAGCUGUGUGGUCUUGGUGAAUUACUUGCUUUGUCUGUGGAUCAUUUUUAAAAACAUCUCUACAAUGGGUUUAAUGACCCAGAUCUCACCAGUCCAUUUUUAAGAGCUAAUUGAAAUAAUACUGUGUUACUCACAGUGGAUGCCUUGGUGGUCUCGGUCCCUAAGAGAAUCUUCUGUUUGAUGUUUCUUACCCCGAACACGCCUUUUCUGAAAACUUGCACACUAAGCAUUACUACUUCUGAGAUAGAGGAGAGUGUGAAUUAUAUGUAUUUGUUAGUUCACUUAAUAAGAAUUUAUGGGCUGUUACUCAAACAUCGGGUGUUUGAGAAUCAUGAUUUUGCUGUUCCCGUCUCAUUCCCACUGUCCCGUGUUCCGUGCCUGGAUAAUCUUUGUGGGUUGCGUUUGUAUAUGUUGUGUCUAAAUUAGGCUGGUUGGAAAAAAUCCUUCAUAGGUGCGAUUUUUUUUUCCCUCUCCCUCUCAGCCCAGAUUCCCUCAUAAAGGUUCAUUGACUUCCAAUGUCCUUGUCCCACCUUACCUCCAAGUGCUAAUCUCUGCGGAUCCCUGGGGAGGGAGGCGUGGCCAGUCAUCCCUGGUGGUGACUGACUAAAGGUGUUUCUGUAAACUCGCCUGUCCAGGCAGAGUGACCCCAGGAUCCUCAACUCAAGAGCUGGAGCCUGCAGCUCUCCUGCAAAGAAUCGAAUGGUUUGCCCUUCUGGAAACCAGACCGCUUACCGUCUGAGCCCAGCUGGGCCACCGCUGACCUCUCUGGAAAGGUCACUAGAACCUGUCGGAACUGCCUCUCCUUCAUAAUAGCAUAGGGGCCGCUGAAUUUCCUGGGUCUGAUGUUCUCUGAUUCUGGAACAUUUGGCAAGAAAAGACACCAUCCUCGCUCACCUUCCAGAACACAAAACAAAAAAUGCCAACAUCAGAGGCUCAGAGGCUUUGAACAUACCAUUCAAGAUGAUGUUUAUUUAAUAUUGGCUAAAAAUGUACUACUUUACCUUUGAAAAAAAAUUAAAUGGCUUGGAGAACUUCAAAGCCUUUCCUCUCCCCUCUGCUUUCCAGGAGGAGAAAUACUUUUCAAAGUCGUUUGAAUUUUAACGAGGAGGGCCCCAGAAGCCCUUGGGAUGGAGAUCCGUGAGUCAGUCAAUUAUUUUUCAGAAGGUGGUUUUAUGCACAGCUUGAAAUGGAGACCCUUCCCCUGUCCCGUGUCGCUCCCCACUUCCUUUCCUAUUUUUAAUUUCUCACUUCAACCCUGUACAUGUGCUGAGAAACUUAAUCCAUUUGUUUCUGAUUCAUUUACACUUAACUCAUCAAAACGCUAUUUAGGGAGAGUAUUCGAGCCUGGGAGGUGCUGAAUCCGAGGAACAGGAAAUUGUGUCUUGUGCAGAGAAACUGACUGCAGACCCAGGCUGCUCUGACUUUGCUCCUGAGCCAGACCCCAGAGUGAAUCUCGGUGUCCGGCGACUCUGAACCCAGCCCGAGGGCCCCUCGUGCUUUGCCUUCUUCUUGGCUCUCUCCAGCCUCCUAACUCUGUACACCAUGGGUUUGUGUGAAUAGCUCUGAAAACUCACCACAUCAAUGUUCUUUUCAUAUGAGACUGUUUGAGAUGCACUUCAUCUCCCUCCCAAAUUUUAUUAUGGAAAAUUACAAAUAUGUGUAAAAAUUGAAAGAAUUAUACACCGAGCGCCCGCAGAUACCCACUGCAUCGAUUCCAUCAUUGACUUGCUGGACUUGCGCUAUUAUAUAUCCAGCUUAAUUUCCAGGUGUCUCUGUCUCAUUUUGUUUGGUGCUUUCGGAGUAAGUGACAUGCAUGCGCACACUUUCCUCCAAAUACUACAGCGAGCAUCGUUGUUAUUGUUGUCGCUAAGUUGUGUCUGCCUCCCUCUGUCUGCAGCACACCAGGCUUCCUGUCCUUCACCAUCUCCCAGAGUUUGCUCAGACUCAUGUCCACUGAGUCAGUGAUGCCAUCCAACCAUCUCACCCUCUGUCACCCCCUUCUCCUUUUGCCUUCAAUCUUUCCCCAACAUCAGGGUCUUUUCCAGUGAUUUGGCUCUUCACAUCAGGUGGCCAAAUUAUUGGAGUUUCAGCUUCAGCAUCAAUCCAUCCAGUGAAUAUUUAGGACUAACUUCCUUUAGGAUGGACUGGUUGGAUCUCCUUGCAAUCCAAGGGACUCUCAAGAAUCUUCUCCAGUACCACAGUUCAAAAGCAUCAGUUCUUUGGCUCUCAGCCUUCUUUAUGGUCCAGCUCCCACAGAGUUGCCUUUUCCCUCUUGCAAGUUUUUUAAUCCAUUUAUUAAAAAAUAGUGUCUAAGGAUCUGCUGUUCCCACAGUGCUAAGUGGGAGGCUGAGGGCAGUUUGGAAGUAAAAACGACGUGGUUCUGCCUUGGGGUACUCUGUUCAGGAGAGACGAAUGAAAGCAGCUAGACUUGCAGGCAGGAGGCCAGUGCUGGGAGGGAUUUGAGGGAAGGAAGUGCACACUGUCAAUUGUCACCUGCAUGACGCGGCCUUGACCCAGAGCCUCCACGUGCUCAUCUGUGCAAUGGGGUUGUGAUGGGUCCACCUCUCAAGGUGGGCGGUUGUGGGGAUUCGAAAGCCUGCCCAGAAGGUCCUGAGCCUCAUGCUGUGCAGAGCGCUGGCUCGAGAAGGGGGAGCCUGGAAUCACUGCGUUUCCACGUCUGCUCGGUCUGGGGCUCCAAAGCCAUUGAACUCCAUUGGGUGAGCCGGGUCUCUCCCAGCAAAGGUAUACUUUCCUUACAAGCUGGGAUCGUCUCGUCUGAUUUUUCUGGGCCCCACCCCGAGGCUCCUGCAGACUCAAUGGAUGCUCCUUAAUCGUGGAAAUUCAGGUGUAAGGGCUUAAAAAAAAAAAAAAAAACGAAAAGGAAACAUAAACCCCACCAUGGGUGUGGCGUUGGCUCUGCCCGCAGACCUGGAUAAUCUCAGACAGGCUCUUCAGACCAGCGUUUUAAAAUCUCAGCGGAUGCUUGGUAAGGAUUUGAAGACCGUCUUGGACUGUGCUUCCUGCCCAGCCCCAGGCGACUGGGGCUCCCGCUCUGAGUCUGGCCUCUUCUUGGUAAAGGCGAUUGUAAAUAAUCAGCGCGAGAUGCCUACAGGGGAGGAGCCUCGGUGAAGGAUGGAGUCCCCGACCCGCUUCUAAGAAUGUGCGGAUGGAGAUGGUGCGUGGGCGCUCCGUGCACCGUGGCACAGCCUCGAAGGGCGCCGGACCUCCGGCCGCCCUCCAUGCCCUUCGCCGCCUCCACGCCGGUCCCACUGCCUCCUGUCGCCACCGCGCCUAAAUUCUAACAGCGGGGCCCGGUGUCAGAGGCAGAGAACCGUCUGGACUCCCCUCCCGGCCUCCCGCUCCAUCGGUCCCUUUUGCUCCAAGAUUGAGUAAGAGGCCUUGGCGGCGGAGCUGGGCGAGACAACUCAAUUGUUUGAACUUGCAGAGAG
ensembl:lncRNA